rnacentral:rRNA from 1 species
GCCUACGGGGGGCAGCAGUAGGGAAUAUUGCUUAAUGGGCGAAAGCCUGAAGCAGCAACGCCGCGUGUGCGAUGAAGGCCUUCGGGUUGUAAAGCACUUUUUACCGGGACGAGGAAGGACGGUACCGGUAGAAUAAGCCUCGGCUAACUACGUGCCAGCAGCCGCGGUAAAACGUAGGAGGCGAGCGUUAUCCGGAUUUACUGGGUGUAAAGCGCGUGCAGGCGGUGGAGUAAGUUGGGUGUGAAAGCUCCUGGCUCAACUGGGAGAGGUCGCUCAAGACUGCUCGACUGGAGAAUGGUAGGGGAAGGUGGAAUUCCGGGUGUAGUGGUGAAAUGCGUAGAUAUCCGGAGGAACACCAGUGGCGAAGGCGGCCUUCUAGACCAUAUCUGACGCUCAGACGCGAAAGCUAGGGUAGCAAACGGGAUUAGAUACCCGAGUA